AGCAGCCGCGGUAAUUCCAGCUCCAAUAGCGUAUAUUAAAGUUGUUGCAGUUAAAAGCUCGUAGUUGAAUUUCGGGAUCAAUUAGUCGGUCGUGCCUCUGGUACGUACUGGUUUUAUUGGUUCCUCCCUUCUGACGAAACAUGAUGUCAUUAAUUUGGUGUCGUGGAGAAUCAGGACUGUUACCUUGAAAAAAUUAGAGUGUUUAUAGCAGGCUAACGCUUGAAUACAUUAGCAUGGAAUAAUGAAAUAGGACGUUCGACCCUAUUUUGUUGGUUUCUAGGAUCGACGUAAUGAUUAAUAGGGAUAGUUGGGGGCAUUAGUAUUCAAUUGUCAGAGGUGAAAUUCUUGGAUUUAUUGAAGACUAACUACUGCGAAAGCAUUUGCCAAGGAUGUUUUCAUUAGUCAAGAACGAAAGUUAGGGGAUCGAAGACGAUCAGAUACCGUCGUAGUCUUAACCAUAAACUAUGCCGACUAGGGAUCGGAUGAUGUUAAUUUUUUAAUGACUCAUUCGGCGCCUUAC
rnacentral:rRNA from 1 species